CCCACCUGCCUCCAUUCCUGCCUUCCCUACUCCACACACCUCAAGGCUCUGGAAAAUCCCACCUUCCUCCCCCUCCCCGCCGCUGGCAGCUGCUCCCUGCCGGCCCCGGAGGCAUCAUGGAGGGAGAGGAGGAGGAGGAGGAGGAGGAGAAAAGGAGAAGGAGAAAAGGAGAAUGAGGAGGAGGAGGAGGAGGAGAAGGCAGCCGAGCAAAUCCCGCCAGCCACACUCACCGCUGCCGGUGCUCAGCGGGGAAACAAAGGCGAUGCUGCCCCUCUCCCAGCCCGGCAUUCCUCCCGCCGAUGGAUUGGGCUCAGCAGGUGCAGCCCCCGGAUCGGGAUGCGGCUGGAGGAGCGUGGGGAUUCAUCCAGGCCGGAUUUCCCGCAGCAGCCGCUGCUUCGCGAUUUCCUUGGCAAAGGAUGGAUGGAUGGAGGGCGCUUAUUUGUGUUCCUCCAUGGCUGCCGCUGCUUCCCCUCCCUCCCGAGAGAAACAGCAGGCACGGCUGCGUUGGGCCUGGAGUGAGGGACCAGGUGGGAGCGCCGGGAAUUGGGCGGCGUGGGCUGGAGCAGGUGGCGUUUCCUCAUGGGCUGGAGGAGUCCCAGGAAUAUCACUGCUGGAGACAAGGACAGGACCAUCCUCAUCCUCAUCCUCAUCCUCAUCCUCAUCCUCAUCCUCAUCCUCAUCCUCAUCCUCAUCCU